rnacentral:rRNA from 1 species
AAUCCUUUUGGAUUUUGGUAUUUCAAAACGAAAUUCCAAACUCUCAACGAUGGAUGCCUCGGCUCGAGAAUCGAUGAAGGACGCAGCGAAGUGCGAUAAGCACUGCGAUUUGCAGAAUUCCGUGAACCAGUAGAAAUCUCAACGCAUACUGCACAAGGGGGAUCUUUCCUCUUUGUACAUACAUAUCAGUGUCGCUC